AUCACAUUUAAGGUUGACACACUGCACGUCGUCGUCAGUCUAGUUUUGCUUGCUUAUCACCAUCUCUGAAAGACCAAUUUUGUGGCAGGGUUUUGAUCAAAUGUGUGACCUUGACUUCUGAUCACGUCCGCCACUGUGGAGAAAAUCUAUUCAAAAUGGCAACCAACAAGAGCUGUCGUUUCGUGCACCUGGGCAAAGUUGCGGCCAUUGUCUGGCGUUGUUGUGCAGGUAUAGCUGCUGUUGUGGACAUAAUGUUAUGUUGUCUGAAGGAGCCGCGAGUGAGGCCGGGUGUGGGAUUGUGGGAUAUAGAGGGCGGUUUACAGGGGCCGGCAUUGCGUCGGUCAGAGAUGGGAGAACUGUAUCCAGCCCUGGUCCCAGAGGAAGACUGAAGUGCACUUCCGAUACACCCGGUACCCCUCACCCACCAGUGCAGCUCCCCCAACGCACGAGCUAUAAUCCUUGAAUUUCGAGCUGAAUAUUAACUAUGAAGUGAUCUUCAUCUAUCAAAAGAUAAGGAAAAAUUAAAAAGUGACAAAAUUAAAUUAUA